rnacentral:lncRNA from 1 species
UUCCCUUCUGAUGCGUGUGGUCUUCCUGAUUCUGCCCUAGUCAGUUAGCUUCUGAAGAAUCUAAUCUUUCCCCACUGGAACCAUCCAGUAGAAUCUCAGAACCUUCCGAGGAGUCAUAAUUCUGCUAUUGACAUAGGAUGGGUGGAGCAACGUGUCACAGUGGGGUGGGUGGCAAUGGUUUCUCACCAUUUGUGCAGAGUUCAGAGCCUCCAUGGGUUUGUGUGUUUCAUGGCUGAGUCUACGCUUGGUAGCAGUAGGUUCAAUGGAUCUGAUUUCUGGAAGAGAAUGCUAUGAAGAAAUAAAUUAGUGAAGGAGAUGAGGAAAACAAGGACGAGAGAGAUUAAAUGUUCUACUGGGAUUAAAAAGAAGAUUAUGAAAGUCUCCCAUAUCUGAGACCAUGCCCCUCAACAUUUUCUGGUUCAUUCUUCUGUCUAAAGUGCAAUAGGAAAAAGGAAUUUCCUCAAUUAUAACAUGUUGCUGGUAUUAUGGAGCCAUUUUUCAGUGUAACCUGCACGUUGGGGAUAUAGUUUUUAUUUUCAGUGAGAUCGUUUCUUCUGAGGGCACACCUACUCCUGCUUCCCGCCAAGCUGGCCGCACUGUCAGACAUCGCCUAGUGGAAUAUUGGAGUGGAUAGCAGUGUAUGACCUCUUUGACUUUCCGCUCCAUGGCCCGACACCUCCACGAUUCGGCUGUGUGCCAGGCUCCAGGAUCACUCCUCACGCAUCUUGGGAAUCCAACCCAGGGCUUCAAAUAAAGGAACGACUGUCUGUCAGAGAUGCUGUGUUGGGGGACAUGUCGAUCCACAUCACCUCUGAAAUCCCUUCCAGUUAGUGUACCCUUUGAAUCUGUGACAUUCUGCACCCUCCAAGAGUCCGUCUACUUCUAAGAAAAUGAGACAAAGAGUUCUUUACAAAAUUGUUGGAGGAGGUCAUUGAAAGGACGUGACUGCUUGUUGACCCAUGAGCUGGACCUGGUCAGACAGAAGUUCCUCACCCUGUCCUUGGAAUGUACACUCUGCCCAUCAUUCCCACUCGAGAGAGCAAUGUGUUGUUGAGACCAUGAAGACUGAACAUGUGGCUGAACCCUGGUAAGGCCUCUAUAUAAACUUUCAAGAUCCUGGCAGGCGGGUGUGGAGAUCUUGUGGCCACCCAAGACAAGCUUUGUAUAUAAGUUCCCUUGCUUAUUAAAUCUGCCACCUACCAACCUGGAGUGGUCUGCCUCUUCCUUCAGUGGCUCCUUGCCUCUUGCCCUUGUAUGGGGCCAGUUUCAGAUUUCAUCUGGGGAGUUCCUGAGGUUUCGAACCAACAGAAG